UUGAACGCUGGCGGAAUGCUUUACACAUGCAAGUCGAGCGGCAGCGCGGGGGCAACCUUGGCGGCGAGCGGCGAACGGGUGAGUAACAUAUCGGAACGUACCCAGACGUGGGGGACAACUAGUCGAAAGACUAGCUAAUACCGCAUACGUCCUGAGGGAGAAAGCGGGGGAUCGCAGGACCUCGCGCGUUUGGAGCGGCCGAUAUCUGAUUAGCUAGAUGGUGGGGUAAAGGCUCACCAUGGCGACGAUCAGUAGCUGGUCUGAGAGGAUGAUCAGCCACACUGGAACUGAGACACGGCCCAGACUCCUACGGGAGGCAGCAGUGGGGAAUUUUGGACAAUGGGCGCAAGCCUGAUCCAGCCAUGCCGCGUGCGGGACGAAGGCCUUCGGGUUGUAAACCGCUUUCAGCCGGAAAGAAAUCGUCAAGGCUAAUAUCCUUGAUGGAUGACGGUACCGGAAGAAGAAGCACCGGCUAACUACGU
rnacentral:rRNA from 1 species